UGGAAGAGGAUAUUAGACUCUAUUAAUAUUUAGUAAAAGAUUAUCUUUUCCUCAUCUAUACUGGACUGGCAUUCACUCAAAACUAUUCAUUAAAUACCUGCUAUAUAUGCAACUUGGAGUAUAUAAUGAAAUAUCUACAGCAGUGUCAGUCCACUUAUCUCAAAUAAUCACGUAAUAGAAUACACCCAAGCAUUUGUUGGCACAAAAAACUUAAGCAGAUUAAAGUUAUUCAAAUUUUUUCCCCCAAAAAAUCUUUUCCUAAGGAAACUGUGUGCUCUGGGAAAUAGUAGUUCAUAAUACUCAGUCAUAUAUGAAUGCUGCCAAUGCUUACUUGAGAGUCAAUAACAAUCUCAUUCAAAGCUGAAACGGUAAACCAAAUAUAUACCCUAGUAUCUCCCAAAUCAUAACAAUCAGAUAUUAAUUCUACAAAUAAAGAUGAAAUCUACCAAAUCCCUUUCUGGGAGACGCAUUUUGUCAAUGUGUUUUUAUUUUUAUGUACUACAAAGCUACAGGGUAACAAAGACACACAACUAACAGACUAAUAAGCAUUUUUUUUUUUUUUGGCAGGGUGGGUGUAGCCCUGGCUGACAACCAGCCUGGUCUUGAACUAACAGCAAUCCAUCUGCCUCUGUCUCUUGAGUUUGGGAUUAAAGGUGUGGGUCACCAUGUCCAGAAGCUGAAUAUGGCAGGGAAAAAUCAACUUGCCUUUAUAAAAAUAUUCAAGCAGUAAAUUGUCAGACAAAGUCCAAGAACAGAGUCGUGUGAGAAUUCUGAGUGCUUGUGAGAAAAUGCCAAGAAAAUAAGACAAGAGUCCUGUGACCUCAGCUUCUUCAAAACACAGAAUUGUUCUUGGAAUGGGUUUUCAUGGGCUUUCCAGGUGUAGCAGGUAAGAGGGAAUUUACUUCAGUGGCUGUUAUUCAUAUGCCUCUACUGAAAAACAUGUUUUUACAACAUGUUUCUUGUCCUUGUGAUUGAACACCUUAGCCAUAUGAUUCGAUUUUUCUUAACCCACAGAAUAUAAAUUACCUAAUGCUCUAAAUAAAGUUGGUUAUUGGCUGGGCAGUGGUGGCGCACUUGGGAGGCAGAGGCAAGCGGAUCUCUGUGAGUUCAAGGCCAGCCUGGUUUACAAAGUGAGUUCCAGGAAAGGCGCAAAGCUUCACAGAGAAACUCUGUCUCGAAACCCCCUCUCCGCAACCCCCCAAAAUAAAUAAAGUUGGUUAUUGCAUGGGACUUUGGUCUGCCUAAAUUUGCUGGCUCUUUUCUCCCAGGUCCCACCAUCUAUAGAGUGGUAAACAAGUGGUACCCAAACAGGGACCUGAAGUCAGCUAUGAGAUAAAGAGUGGGGACCCUCACAGAAGAUGAAUGAGCAAAAUGGUGCAGAAACCAGUAAAAACUUUGCUGUAUGUUGAGCUUGUGCAUCAUUUCUUAAAGAAAGAAGGACCACAGUAUCAAAAUCACAGCUACUAGAUUGUUUGCAAGUUGGUUAUGAUUAUAAUCCCUGGUGUUUAGAAGAAGGAACUUUAGAUAAAGAAGUAUGGGACAGAGUCUGAAAGAAUAUUAAAAAGGCAUAUAAACAAGGGGGGAAAGUUCCUUGUUUAAUUUUGGGUCACUUGCGCAUUGAUUUGAACUGUUAAUAAAAUAUUUAAGGAAGAUAAGUAGGAUAUUAAUCAUGACAAAGAGAUGACUAAUUCCUUGAAUAUAAACUGAAUGGUCAAACCUUAAAAUUGAUAGAGGCAAAGAAGGAAGUUUUCCCUGUGCAGGCAAAAUCAAAAGUAAAAAUGGUGACACCUAUGCCAGGGAUGGUUCCCUCAGCUCCCUAACUGGAGCUUUCUAUAAAUACUUACCCUCCAUUGUCUAAAAAUGGCCUUGAAGCAUGGGGUGAAGAAUAUGAUAAUUGAUUGAUAAUUGAUCUAAUCUUGAAUUCUCUCUAUUUUCUGAUAAGGACUUAGGAGAUCCUAUGAAAAAGCUAAUUUUACAACCUAGGCAAGCUAAGAGCAUGGCUGGAAAAAGUAAUUCAUCUACUGAUUUCUCCUUGGUCUCAUGAGCUGUGCUUGGUAUUUCCAGGGCAAUUUCAGCAAAAUCAAAAUGUCUAUCUAAUUAUGCACUAACCAAUCUAUUUAAAACUCUAGAAGUUAAGAAGGUGUUGGAUAGCCCUCAUACAUUACGUCCAGAGGCAAAGAAAGAACUACAGCUAUUUGAAUCCAGACCAAAAGAAAGCAUCCACGAAGUGGAUUCUUUCACUGCCUUUAAACUUAUUUUUCCCACUAAACUGUCUCCUAUAGGUAUUAUAGCACAAGAUGAUAAACCUUUGGAAUGGAUUUAUUUGUACCUUAAGGGACAUAAAAUAUUGCUUAUCUUAUUUUUCUGGUUCAAUUAGUAAAUAAUUAAUGUCAACAAUUAAUCAUAUGGGUCUCUUUUCAAGCUAUUCUCUAGAAUUUCCUAUCAAUGUAAUAAUGUAACUAAUAGUACUGGACAGUUUGGAUCUCUGCCGUUGGUGGCAGAGAAUUCCAAUGCUUCCAAUAUUCUAAUGUUGUAAUUUGCUUGUUUACAGAACACUUAUGAAUCAAAUGACAAUUAGAUUUACCUAAAACAUCUUAAAUCAAAACCACUCUGCAUAUCCUAUUAAAAAACAAAAAAGGGGGAGAUGUCAGAACAUACUCCAAGAAUGGAGUCGUGUGAGAAUUCUGAGUGCUUGUGAGAAAACUCCAAAACAAGGCUAGAGUCCUAUGACCUUAGUUUCUUCAAAACACAGAAUUGUUCUUGGGAUGGGUUUUCAUGCUCUCCCAGGUGUAUUGGCUAGGAGGGAGUUUUCUUCAGCUGUUAUUUAUAUACCUCUAUGGAAAACAUAUUUUUGCCGCAUGUGGCUUGUCCUUGUAAUUGAACACCUUACUCAUGUGAUUCUUAACUCUCAGAGUAUAAUUGCCUCAAAUUCUAAAUAAAGUUAGCUAUUGCAUGA